UCCGUACGGCAUCAUUUUCUGUACUCUUCAGGCAUUCAUUCGUCUUACGUGGACCUCCGAUGAGGCAGUGAUGCGGGACCUUGGAUGCCGUCUCAACUCCUCCUUCCCUUUCUGCCGUUGGCUACCCAGAACUAGGCAGUUUCCAGUUGCAAAUGUCGAAGAUCUGACAUCCCGGAUGGGAGCAGCCACUAUCAGAAAAGCGGGGAAAAUUCCAGAUGAACUACAAGGCCUCUUCCGGCGACCAGCCCCAGAGACUUCCUGCGGCUGAUAACGGUAACCCGGUUGAAGAUGUGGCAAAUGGCAAUUGAAUGGAAAGUCAGCAGAAGAUGAGAUAACUGAGGCACAGAGAAGUGAAGUGACG